rnacentral:rRNA from 1 species
AGGUAGCAGUGGGGAACAUUGUACAAUGGGCGCAAGCCUGAUGCAGCCAUGCCGCGUGUGUGAAGAAGACCCUCGGGUUGUAAAGCACUUUUAGCGAGGAGGAAGGUGGCGAGCUUAAUACGCUCAUCAAUUGACGUUACCCGCAGAAGAAGCAUCGGCUAACUCUGUGUCAUCAGCCGCGGUAAUACGGAGGGUGCAAGCGUUAAUCGGAAUUACUGGGCGUAAAGCGCACGCAGGUGGCUUGCCAAGUCAGAUGUGAAAUUCCCGGGCUCAACCCGGGAAUUGCACUCGAAACUGGCAAGCCAGAGCCUCGUAGAGGGGGGUAGAAUUCCAGGUGUAGCGGUGAAAUGCGCAGAGACCCGGAGGAAUACCGGUGGCGAAGGCGGCCCCCUGGACGAAGAUUGAUGUUCAGGUGCGAAAGCGUGGGGAGCAAAUAGGAUUAGAUACCUUGGUAGUCCACGCUGUAAAUGAUGUCGACCCGGAGGUUGUGCCCUUGAGGCGCGGCUUCCGGAGCCAACGCGCUAAAUCGACCGCUUGGGGAGUACGGCCGCAAGGUUAAAACUCAAAUGAAUUGACGGGGGCCCGCACAAGCGGUGGAGCAUGUGGUCCACUCCGACGCAACGCGAAGAACCUCACCUACUUUUGACAUCCAGAGAACUCCCCAGAGACGGACUGGUGCCUUCGGGAACUCUGAGACAGGUGCUGCAUGGAUGUCGUCAGCUUUUGUUGUGAAAUGUUGGGUUAAGUUCCGCAACGAGUGCAACCCUUAUCCCCCGCCGCCAGCGGUUCGGCCGGGAAUU